CAGCGCUCAAAACAACUGAUCCAUUGCGUCUUUACGAGUCGAGUUGCGAUUCCGAACUGAAACGAACCAGCGAGACGAGCGCCGCCGAAGUUAGCAUUGACAGCGUGUGAGAGAGACACACAACGGUGCAGCAGCAGGAUGCAGCAGACAGGAUCAUUGAUUUUUAUGCUCCUGGCAGAGAGAGCGAAGAGCAUGCGCCGGGCGAUGGAUGUGGCGCGUGUCAAUGCACCGCAUUUCUACCGCUCUCUCUCAUCCCACGAAACGAUUCCUUCCAGACGCCGCGAGAAAGAGAGAGGGAGCGCGAGAGCAGACAGCAGCUGCAGUUUUUGUGUAUGCACCUCAUUCCCACUCCGCCCUCACCUUUCCCCCCUCUCAUUUGCGCCUUACCUGCCUCUCCUUCGGCUGAAGAGAAGCAGCUGGAAAUAUCCUGAAGUCGGUUAUCACAAAAGGUUAAGCCCAAGUUGAUUGUCUUCACAGGCUAUCUAUAGGAAGUGUCAAUCUUAUCUUUCAUUUUAUGAUAAGCUUUGUAACAUCUUUAGGAUUGAUAGGCCCAUAAAAAUUUUAGUAAUGUAACCGACUCAAUACCAACAACAGUACAUCAUAUACAACUCGAAUAAAGCACAUUUUUAAUUGUGUUUUUGUGUUAUUAAAUGUCUUCAUAGUCGUUUGAAAAGUCAGCUAUUUGCUUCGGUUUUAGGUUACAGAAAAUGGGUUUCCGGGGCUUGGCUCUAAUAUCUAUAUUGCACAAAGUACAAAUACUGAGUAAUUGUUACAGGUUAUAUG